rnacentral:snRNA from 1 species
AGCUUUGUACAGUGGCAGUAAUGUAGCCAAAGAGGUUUAUCCAAGGCGUGAUUAUUGCUAAUUGAAAACUUUCCCACAUACCCCACCAUGAUGACUCGAAAUAUAAAAAUAGA